rnacentral:lncRNA from 1 species
UCUUCAUCCACAUCAUGUCGAACCCAUUGAUGUUGUGUACUAGUACUAGGGAUAUUUUCAUCUAAGUUUUGUUCUGGAAAAGGUAAUGUUUCUGAUCUUUCGAUGAUGUCAUCUCUACUUCCAUUACCCAUGUCAAACAAGUCUCUAGGGGUGUUCCGGAGUACAACAUACCAACCCUCAUCAGUUGGAUCUUUCGAAUAAAAAAC